rnacentral:rRNA from 1 species
CCACCACAGAAGGUAAUAGUCCUGUAUGUUAAACGAGAAGACUUUAGAUAUGAUCCAGAGUACCACGGGACACGUGAAACCCUGUGGGAAGCAGGAGGGACCACCCUCCAAGGCUAAAUACUACCUAGUGACCGAUAGCGUAUAGUACCGUGAGGGAAAGGUGAAAAGAACCCCGGGAGGGGAGUGAAAUAGAACCUGAAACCCUGCACUUACAAGCUGUGGAAGCACAUUUCUUGUGUGACCGCGUACUUUUUGUAGAACGGGCCAACGAGUUACGUUAAGUAG